rnacentral:lncRNA from 1 species
UGGGCUCGUGUCCAAAUGGCAAAGUUUGACACAAGCUGAGGAGGAGAACAUUCCUUUAUGGCAUCCUGUACUUUGUUGAACAGAAGCAAUGAUAACAGGUACUCCUGCCUUUUCCUGGAAUUUGAAAGUGCCUGUGGCUGUCUUCCUGCUGUCCCGGUAACCACUGUCAUCUGACCUAAAACCACGGACUGAGAAUGUUUCAGGCCAUGGCCAGUUGCUAAUGAACUUCCUAGUUUGCAUAGUUGUUGCUGACUCGGGCCAUGGAGGAUGUCCUGUGAGUGCAGACCCGUGUGGCUACUCAAGUUCCAGAGGGCUCAUCAAAAACAGGUUCUUGCUUUGAACAACAGAACACUUUGAGUGACUCACUGGUCAGAUGCUGUAAGGUAUUUUUUU